rnacentral:rRNA from 1 species
GGCUCAGAUUGAACGCUGGCGGCGUGCUUAACACAUGCAAGUCGAUCGGUAACAGGUGUAGCAAUACAUGCUGACGAGAGGCGGACGGGUGAGGAACGCUUGGGAAUCUGCCUAUCAGCGGGGGACAACCCGGGGAAACUCGGGCUAAUACCGCAUACGCUCUACGGAGGAAAGCCGGGGACCGCAAGGCCUGGCACUGAUAGAUGAGCCCAAGUCGGAUUAGCUAGUUGGCGGGGUAACGGCCCACCAAGGCUACGAUCCGUAGCUGGUCUGAGAGGACGAUCAGCCACACCGGAACUGAGACACGGUCCGGACUCCUACGGGAGGCAGCAGUGGGGAAUAUUGGACAAUGGGGGAAACCCUGAUCCAGCGACGCCGCGUGGGUGAAGAAGGCCUGCGGGUUGUAAAGCCCUUUCGGUAGGGACGAAAACUCUUGCCUUAACAAGGCAGGAGCUUGACUUAACCUACAUAAGAAGCACCGGCUAACUCUGUGCCAGCAGCCGCGGUAAUACAGAGGGUGCGAGCGUUAAUCGGAAUUACUGGGCGUAAAGCGCACGUAGGCGGCUUUGUAAGUCGGAUGUGAAAUCCCCGGGCUCAACCUGGGAACUGCACCCGAAACUACAUUGCUAGAGUAUGGGAGAGGGAGGCGGAAUUUCCGGUGUAGCAGUGAAAUGCGUAGAUAUCGGAAGGAACAUCAGUGGCGAAGGCGGCCUCCUGGACCAAUACUGACGCUCAGGUGCGAAAGCGUGGGGAGCAAACAGGAUUAGAUACCCUGGUAGUCCACGCCCUAAACGAUGAGAACUGGAUGUCGGGAGGGUUUGCCUUCCGGUGUCGUAGCUAACGCGAUAAGUUCUCCGCCUGGGAAGUACGGCCGCAAGGUUGAAACU